rnacentral:rRNA from 1 species
AUUGAACGCUGGCGGAAUGCUUUACACAUGCAAGUCGAGCGGCAGCACGGGGGCAACCCUGGUGGCGAGCGGCGAACGGGUGAGUAAUACAUCGGCACAUGCCCAGUCGUGGGGGAUAACACUUCGAAAGCAGUGCUAAUACCGCAUACGCCCUGAGGGAGAAAGCGGGGGAUCUUCGGACCACGCUCGAUUGCAGUCGCCGAGGUCAGAUGAGCUAGUUGGUGGGGUAAAGGCCUACCAAGGCAACGAUCUGUAGCUGGUCUGAGAGGAUGAUCAGCCACACUGGGACUGAGACACGGCCCAGACUCCUACGGGAGGCAGCAGUGGGGAAUUUUGGACAAUGGGGGCAACCCUGAUCCAGCCAUUCCGCGUGAGUGAAGAAGGCCUUCGGGUUGUAAAGCUCUUUCGGCAGGAACGAAACGGCGAGCUCUAACAUAGCUUGCUAAUGACGGUACCUGAAGAAGAAGCACCGGCUAACUACGUGCCAGCCGCCGCCGUAAGAC